ACAGUGGUGUUCGAGUGGUUAAGGAGUUUGACUCGAAAUCAGACGGACUUUGCCCGCGUAUGUUCGAAUCCUGCCCGCUGCG
rnacentral:tRNA from 1 species